rnacentral:rRNA from 1 species
UACGUAGGGGGCAAGCGUUGUCCGGAUUUAUUGGGCGUAAAGAGCGUGUAGGCGGCCAGAUAGGUCCGUUGUGAAAACUGGAGGCUUAACCUCCAGCGGUCGAUGGAACCAUUUGGCUAGAGUCCGGAAGAGGAGAGUGGAAUUCCUGGUGUAGCGGUGAAAUGCGCAGAUAUCAGGAGGAACGACCGGUGGCGAAGGCGGGUCUCUGGACAGUUCCUGACACUGAGGCACGAAGGCCAGGGGAGCAAACGGG